CUCUGCAUUUCCCUCCUUUCCUGGGUGAGGCUGAUGCUGCUGGCCUGGGGUCCCGGCAGCCAAUUUCUCAUUGGUCUCUGGCCUCCACCCUUGGUCCUUGUCCAUCUGUCCUCCUGACGUGUGGUCUGGGGUGUGCAUCCUUCCAGGGGCUGCCCUGGGAGCCCCCUGCUGCCUCUCCAGCCUCGACCUGCACCCUUGUGUGCUACUCUCUGCCCCAGCCAGGCUGGCAUUUUGCAGCCAUGCAGCCUGGCUCUGUGUCCUGCUCUCUGCCCCAGCCAGACUGGCUUUUUGCAGCCAGGCAGCUCGGUUGUGUGUGCUGCCUGCUCAGCUGCAGUGCCUGGCGCUAACCCUAGAAGUCCCUGUCCCUGACCUGAGCGAGGAGCCAGUGGGAAGCUCCCUGCUGCACCAGCUGUGCAGCUGCACGGAGGCCUUCUUCCUGGGCCUGCGCGUCAAGUGCCUGCCCUCGGUGGCGGCCGCGUCCAUCUGCUGCUCCUCGCGGCCCAGCCGGGACUCUGACAGGCUCCAGCUCCACACAGACGGCAUCCUGUCCUUCUUGAAGAACAACAAGCCGGGGGACGCGCUGUGUGUGCUGGGCCUCACGCUGUCCGACCUGUACCCCCACGAGGCCUGGAGCUUCACCUUCAGCAAGUUCCUUCCAGGGCACGAAGUGGGUGUCUGCAGCUUUGCCCGGUUCUCGGGGGAAUUCCCGAAGUCGGGGCCCAGCGCCCCUGAUCCGGCCCUGGUAGAGGCAGCAGCAGACGGCCCCCAGGCCCCCCUGCA
rnacentral:sRNA from 1 species